CGAAGUUAAAGGGUCUCUGUGGGCAAGUAUUAGUGACACUGCGUCAUUCUGCGCAAUGCCGUCGGAAACUAUUGUGUAUAUUACAGAAACACUUCAUCCAGGGUUGGAUACUGAUACCUCACUAAUAACUCUUUGUUCAGUAAAGUGUGGUUUUCUACUAGCUUGUGACGAGUGUAAUUAAAAAUUUUAUCGUAUUAAAAAAUAAUUCCAAUUUUUAUAAACAUUGGAAAUAAGUACUUAAAAAAAUUUCCUGCAAAUAGAAAAAAUCGUUUAAGCAGUACAAAAUAUAUUUAUACGGAAUAAAACGGAUACCAAAAUUUGAGAAUUAAUGCUCAACAGGAAUUAAUGCUGUACUUAUGAACGAAACUAAAUAACGGGAUCAAGAGUGCUAAAGUCAGAAAAUUGGCAACGUUUAACCUACUUUACUGCUGAAACAACAAAUAAGCAAAAGGAACAAUAAAAGCAUUUUAAACGCCGGCGGAGUUCGAAGGCGUUGGAAAACCCGCUGACAUUGGACAAUUUCUUCUUACUGUGCUGCUACGCUCUGCAUGUCGUAAUGAUUUGUUUCAUACAAUUUUUGCUGUUUCGAUUUUAUUUCUAAAGGAGAAGUUGCCAUCAGCCGAACCAAGCAUGUGCGCUCAGAUCGCUUUCAUCGGAACCGAACCAUUGGCAACGGGUGGCUUUGUAACAGAGACCGUAGAAAUACUAAGAAAUAGCCCUUUAUGCCUUCAUAGUCGGGACAUUAGUCAGCAUAAUUAUUUAGCGUUGACAAUCAUAUCUUUAAACAUUGGCGAGAAGACAUACAUACAUGGUUUUGUAUUCACAAUUCCAUACGAAGGUUUUAUCAACAGAGAAGGCUGCAAUCAUGGGAGCAGUGGAGGGCCUUUUUUUUGGCGCCGCCGGAGAUCGCUUGUCAUUCCGAAAAUAUUUAAUAUUUUAUUUCAAAAAUUGUUUAUUUUAAACAUGUAUAAAU